GGAGAGAUGCGAGAGUGGCUGAAUCGGCGUGCCUGGAAAGCACGUGUAGGGGUAACUCUACCGAGGGUUCGAAUCCCUCUCUCUCCGCCA
rnacentral:tRNA from 1 species